UGCGCCCAGAGAGAAAGUAAAGCCAUGUCGAAACUGUCUAGAUUUUUUGAGUGUUUUUCCAGCUACCCACCACUCACCCAUCUCUGACCUCAGUUAGCACCUGACAACUGGCAUCACGAAUAGGAUCUCGGAGUGAGUGAGUCUUCGGUCCCCGCUGAUUCCGGGUUGGCCAUGUGGCUCUAACAUGGGUUGUGGUAUCCGGUGGCAGCUGUGCUGCUUGGAUGGGCUCUGGUGGAAACUUGGGCGGCAGUAGACGGGUGCCCCACGAGCAUGGAGAAGGCGCUGAAGCAGCUGGAAGCAGAGAGCACUGAGAAGGAACAAGCCUUUGCCGGCGGAGUUGGAUGGGCAUUUUUGACUGCGCUGUGAGAAGUACAUAUGCAGUCCCUGAGGGAUGCAGAAGUAAGGACCCUCAGGCACAGGUGGGGUGCCUGGAGACCCGGCUACACAGCUCAGAAAAACAGAAGUUGCCGUGAAUGGGGACCUCCAGGUGCCGGUUGGGCGCCUGGAGGGCCGGCUACCAAGCUUGGAAAAGUAAUUAGAGGCCGCUGUGAGUGCAGGCCUGAAGGCUGUUGGCGGGACUGAGUGGGACUGAGGGGUUCAUGCCAUAAAGAAGGUGAAUAUGACCCGCCUGCAGGGGGUCCUCCAAGGGAGAAAAGGGGGCCCCAAUGAGUGACAUGUUCACAGAUGUGGAUAGAUUUGAUUUUGGCCUGGGUUGACUGAGAGAAAAUCGGUAAGCAGCCUUCUUUAUGGGAACCCAGGUAAGUUUUCCGGCAAACCUGCUUACAUAGGUUAUGAAGACCGGUCAGUGAAAGUGAAACCUGUAUCUUUGCACCUCUGCAUCAGCUGCUUGGCUCCCCGCUUAUGCACUGUAUAUGUCUCUCUCACACCUGAAUACAUUCUGAGGGUGGACGUUUUACACGGCUUGGCAGCUAUGCCGUCUGUCACGGACUUGAAGGACCACUUGACAACAGAAUUACGACAGUACCGCGAUGUGGUGGACUUGACCAAUGCAUUCUCAAUUAGCAUUACUCUAGAGAUCCAGGAACAGUUUGGCUUCAUGGGAAGGCAACAGUGGACUUUCACAGUGUUGUCGCAGGGCUGUAUGCUUAGCUCCACCCUAUGUCCUGGUCUUGUUGAUGAUAUUGUUUACCUCUGAUUCUCUGGCAGAUUUAGAAGCGGCAAUGCUCUUCUUGCUAGAAUUAAAAUAGUAUGGCUGAGACCACCUUCCUGGCAGCCAAACGGGCUUUUCAGCAGGCACAAGCCCUAUGGGUAGUUGACCAGGGGUGCCCGUUUGAGCUGGAUGUGCAUGUGACCACAGAUGGCUUCGGCUGGGGCCUGUGGCAACGCACAGAGCACUUGAGAACGCCAGUGGGCUUUUGAUCCCAACUAUGGAAGGGAGCUGAGCUCCGCUAUUCCUUGAUAGAGAAACAGCUAGCAGCUGUAUAUGCUGUCCUGCAGGCUUGUGAGAGUGUGACAGGACCAGCUGUAGUGGUCGUGCGGACAACUUAUCCAAUAGCAGGAUGAGUGCAUUCAUGGGUAAUGACCCCCCGGACUGGGACAGCACAGACAUCCACUUAACAACGGAGUACGCUGAAUACAAGGCCCUUAGCAGCAGAUUGCAAGAGGUCUUGGGACCUGUAGUCCUAAUGCAAGAUUAGGCCAUGGGCCUGAGGCACCCCUAGACCCUAAGCCUUCUCCAUUUAAGGAAAGGCAUGCCCCCAUUUCCAAUGAGGCAUGGUACACAGAUGGGUCUAUACGAGGUGCUGCUGCUGCCUGGACUGCUGUCACGGUCCAGCCUAGUACUGACACCAUAUGGUUUGAAACCGAGUGUGAACAAAGCAGUCGAUGGGCUGAACCCAGAGCAAUGUGGAUGGUGAUCACCAAGGAGGUGACACCUAUGGUAAUCUGCACCGGUAUUUGGGCAGUUUAUUGAGACUUAACCUUGUGGCUAACUACCUGGAAGUUACAGAAGUGGCUAGUCACCAGCCCAUGUGAGGCCAAGCCAUGUGGCAAGACCUAUAGGAAGAAGGAUGACCUUCUCCGACCACGUAUGCAGACAAAUGGUAACCUGUUGUUGCCUGCCCCAAUGCCCCUAAAGCCCCCAUGCUGUAAGAAGUCCAAGCCACAUACAAAAGAAAUGUGAAAGAAAAUGAAGCACUUCCAUGAACACCCCCAGAGCAGCUCCCAGUCAGGAAUCAGCAUCAACUGCCAAGCCAUAUAAAAAGAAAAUAGUCAAAAAAUAUUCUGAACUCGAUGGAAUACUGUGGAGUAGAUGAAGAAAACUCUUCUGAGUAUCAUCAAGACUAUAAAGACCCUUCAGAAAAAAACUCUCUUGCAGACAUCUGUCCAUUCUUUAUAUGUGUAUGGGAUCUUAGUUUGUAAAUUUCUACUUCAUAUGUUUUUAUAAGAUGACUUUUUUAUUGUUCCAAUUACUUAUUAUUUUUGUUUAAGCUGGACUUAAUUUUAAGAUAUAUGCAAUCCAAUUUAAUAUUGCAUUCAGAAAGUAAGAACUCUGGCCUCAUUAUUUGCAUGACAUGAAUAUGAACACAAGAAAAAUUGGAUUGGACAAAAUUUAUUGCUUUUGCUUUAUUUUUUCCUGCCACAAAACCAUGUCCUCUGUCUUUGUUAGGGCUGGGGAUUGUUUGGACUUUGUUAUUCUCUAAUAAUAGGCAAAAUAAAGGUUAGACAUGGAGAAGAAAAAUCAUUAUGUGAACAUUAUAACUACGUAUGCUAACUUGAAUGUCAUUCAUCAUUGCGUUACUCACAAAGUGGCAAAUUUUAGUCUUCUUAUAUGAACAACUGGAUUUUAACAACUGGAUGGUUUUUAACAACUGGAUGGUUUUUCAGAGACUUCAGCUAUGAUUACUUCUCCCUCAAAAAUUUACAUUGAAUGAAAAUGACACCAAAUUACCUGAAAGUAUAAAAAGUAAUAGACUCAAGAAAAAAUUUGUUUCCCUAGAGACUAUCUGUUAAAGAUCUAUAAACAUUUUUAUAGAAAAUGAACCAUUUUAAAAUAAGCUUUUAUAAAACAUUUUCAUAAGAACCUCUAUAUCUUCUUGUGAUUUUAAAUUAAACUGCCUUAGUAAAAAUCAGAGAUUAUCUCUGACACAUUUUUUUGGUAGAAUGGAGAAAUGAAAGAUCCUCUGAUUUAUGGUGUGAUGUUUAGCAAGGUCGAUUAAAUCUAAGUGAUAAUCCUUGAGUAACACCAUUUAACACUUCACUCUUUACUCAUGAAGAGCAAGUCAAAAUAGUGAACUGAAACAUGAAAUGAUCAAUGGUCAAAUAUAAGAAAACAUCAAAUAAACACAAUAAAAAACAUCUGAGUCUCAUUUGAUUUUCUUCCCUCUACUCAUCCUGAGCUAUUUUUCUGGUAGUUUCUC
rnacentral:lncRNA from 1 species